CUCAACCAUCAAAGGCAAGGAAACCAAAAUCAUGGUAUUCUGAAGACCAGAGAUAUGAAUCUCCUUCAUUUGGCAUCCCACCGGCCCCGAUCUGUUUCACUGCUAAUGUUCUGCUGCCAAAACUAUACAAGCUGCCUCACCCCUAGGCCCAGGGACUAUCACAGAAGAGAGCCAAUAAAACUUUUCUUUUGAGUGAUUUGCAGCUUUUAACAAGUAAGUAAAAUAUACUCCUGUGAACAAAAUUUGGAGCAUAUUUGUUUCUCUCUACCUGAUUUCUCCAGAAUUUGGAAACUAUUUGUGAGUAUUCUUAACUUAUGACAAUAUAGUUAUUUGCAUAAGUGCAAUAAGAAUGUUUUCUUUUGUAACAGGACAAAAUAAAAGAAACCAGUUAUUUUACCAAGGCUUUGACUGGAAUGGCAUGCUUUCCUUUAAGGAAUCGAAUUUGGCUUACAGGGCCAAUAAAAGCCCCUUGGGAAAACUGGCCUCAUACCCUGUCUACACUGUCCCGUACAGGGUUCCUGACCUGUAGUAAAUAAAGAAUGUCACUUUCUAACAGGCCCAGGAGCCCUAGGUUAUCUUGGGACCUCGAAAAAAGAGGAAUUUACCUAACUGAUAAAUAUUUGAUAGUACAAACCUAUGGCUAGGCUUGGCUUUGGAAAAAAACCUUAUCUGAGAUUCCUUUUGUGGAACAAAGUCCAAUCAAAGCCAAUUUAAAAAGCCUAUGUGAAAAAUGAUUAUUUUUGCUGUACUUUACACAAAUAAUCAGGCUAAGUGUAAGACUAUGGCGUAUUUUUGCAAACAAAUCAGCCCUGUUAGGAUUUGUCUUUAGUAAAAAUGGGAGAAUGGAGA
rnacentral:lncRNA from 10 species